UGCGCAGGCGGGGAAGUAAGUCAGCGGUGAAAUCUUACGGCUCAACCGUGAAACUGCCGCUGAUACUGCUUCUCUUGAGUUCGGGAGAGGGUGGUGGAAUUCCUGGUGUAGCGGUGAAAUGCGUAGAUAUCAGGAAGAACACCAGUGGCGAAGGCGGCCACCUGGCCCGACACUGACGCUCAUGCACGAAAGCGUGGGGAUCAAACAGGAUUAGAUACCCUGGUAGUCCACGCCCUAAACGAUGAGAACUUGAUGUUGGUCCCGCAAGGGAUCAGUGUCGGAGAUAACUCGUUAAGUUCUCCACCUGGGAAGUACGCUCGCAAGGGUGAA
rnacentral:rRNA from 1 species